rnacentral:rRNA from 1 species
UACGUAGGGAGCAAGCGUUGUCCGGAAUCAUUGGGCGUAAAGCGCGCGUAGGCGGCCCUGUAAGUCCGUUGUGAAAGUCAAAGGCUCAACCUUUGAAAGCCGAUGGAUACUGCAGGGCUAGAGUCCGGAAGAGGCGAGUGGAAUUCCUGGUGUAGCGGUGGAAUGCGCAGAGUAUCAGGAGGAACACCAAUAGCGAAGGCAGCUCGCUGGGACGGUACUGACGCUAAGGCGCGAAAGCGUGGGAGCGAACGAGG